UUGGACAAAGAGGAAUAACAAUCCAUGAUUUAAGAGAAUGAGCCACAUCAGAUUAUCGUCAUCUCAUUUGUUUUGGUUGGGGGACUGUUUGAAAUGGAUAGAAAUUCUUAUCAACCGAUAACAUAACAUGUUAUAUUUCUUCCAUAUAUUACAGCCUAGUGAUGUGUUGUUCUCAAAUGGAGAUAUAUUUUUCAACCCAUGUUUCAAGUUUGUUAAUUUGCUUGUCAAAUUAGGUUAAAUUUUUUCUUCCAUUUAACCUUCAUUUUACCAUAAAGUCUACGGAUGCUUGUUCCUGCUUUUCAAAAAUAGAUCUAGACGACUGAUCUGUUCAAUGAAUUGAGGAUAUACCAACCGUGCCAGUGAAUGUGUAUGCCAGAUCACAGGAGGUUUGUGGCACCUUAAUUGGGGAGGACGGGCUCCAAAAGAUUCACUAUCCUUCUGACCCUAUGCAGCCAGGUCUCAUCUACUUUUUAACAAGAACAAGAUUGUGCUCUGGUAUUGUGCCUGGCGGACCAUGCACAAGCUCCACCACAGUCUGGAGCUUCACUUCCUGAUCACACCAAGUUUGCCCCUGACUGGUUCUUCGGCCUCAUCAAGCAGCGCUUCCGAAAGACCAGAGUGAACACUUUGUCUGAGAUUGCUGGUGUUGUGAAGGACAGCACUGUGACAGGGGUCAACAUCCCACAGCUGGUUGGACUGGAGGAUGGUACGGUGCUGGUGGAAAGCUAUGGCUGGCAACAACACCUGACUCCGUACCUCAGGCCACUGCCACAGAUCAAGCAGUACCAGCACUUAUGCUUCAAUGCUCUGGUGCCUGGUGUUGAUGUUGCCAACGAGUGUUCAAAUCAUAUAAAAAUUUAGUUGUCACAUACAUGUGAUUAGCAGAUGUUGUUGCUGGUAUAGAGAAACGGUUGUGUUUCUAGCUCUAACAGUUCAGUAAUAUCUAACAAGUAAUAUCUGACAAUUUCCCAACAAUACACACAAAUCUGAAGUAAAGGAAUGGAAUUAAGAAUAUAUAAAUACUUGGACAAGCAACAUCAGUGCGGCAUAGACUAAGAUACAAUAGAAUACAGUAUAUACAUAUGUGAUGAGUAAUGCAAAAUAUGUAAACAUUAUUAAAGUGACUAGUGUUCCAUCA